rnacentral:lncRNA from 1 species
ACCCGCCAGCCCCGCGCUCUACCAGGCAGAGCGCGUGUGGCCGCCGAGCACAUGGACCCACUGGUCAAGCGGGCUCGGCAAGGCCAGGAUGAAGAGAAGCUACGAACUUAGCAUUCCCAGAGCCCCCCGAGUGGAUAUCCGCGUGGAAAGGAUGUUGGCAGCCCCGGUGACCUCGGAGUCACGGCUGGAUCCACCCUCUUGUCUGAUUUUCUUAACUCUACUACGGUAAGAAGAUGCCCUCCAUCAGCAGGCCGUGUCUGCUGGGACCUCUCUGGAGACUUCCUGAACCCUGUGGAUUUACAGUAAGAUGCAGUUUCCUGGGGAGUAAUUCUGGUGGAUACAAAUUCCGGAGUAUUACACCUGGCUUGCCUGGAGAUGUUACAAGUAGCUGGAUGGAUUCUUCAGCCUGGAUGCCCACUGAAAACAAGGACCGAAACUAAGAGGAUUGUAUCUCUACCCUUGACUCAAUGAGAAUGUUUGUUGUCAUCUCUCGGGCUACCUGGAGCUCCCUCUAAAAUGGGCUGGGACACUGCCUGAUUGAGGUGGCCAUUGAGAAUUCAAGUGUACCUCUUGGUCCCUGAUGCAGAAAUGAAGUCCCCAGCAUGCUCAAGAAGAGCUUCCUUGGAGGAUGAGAGGCAUGGGAAUCUAAGUAUACCCUUUAAGCGUUCCAGAAGGAUUUUGAGAUCCUUUCCUAAAUCAAAGGUGGAAUAUUUGGGGAUUUGGAAAAUUGAGAUGUGAAGCGUUGACUUAAGAGAUGCCAAGUAACUCAGCAGAUGUCACACAGACGAUAAAUAGCAAAGAUGGAAGUCUUCAUGCCGGAGGCAAUCCUAUAAGACAGCUGAGUUCUGCAGAGCUGGUAGGAGACAGACUUGCUCAGGUGAUAGAUCCAGCCAUGAUACUGACCCUAAGAGAAUGAGACGCUCUGCAGAAGACAGAAGAUUCCUGAAACUGGGAAAGGUGCCUAGAAAUCCUGAUAAGAGUGAAGAAGGGUACCUGGAGGCACAGCAGCCAUGUUGAACCUAUGAGGUGAUGAAAAACCAUGCAACUAGAAACCAGAAUGGAAGAAAAGAAGAAGCUGGAUCCUUGACUGAAUUGUCGAUGGGGGAUAGUCCAUCAUCCCAGGGCUAAGACCACCUCCAGAUUUCUUGUUUGGUGAAACAAGUCCUGAUUGUUUACAUUCCCUCGUGUUGAGCUGUCUCUUGCUUGUAGCUGAAAGCAUUUCUAAUAGAUAUUCAGAUUAUCAGCCUUAGCUCCAAGCUAGAAUACUCUAUGGGACCUUAGCUUCUCCAUGAAUUCCUUUGCUCAUCUGUGUAAUGCUCAAUAAAUGUAAAUUGAACCCUGAAUGAGGGACAAUGACACUA